UACAAUAUCUUCCACAUUCUAUCAAUUUCUCUUCUAAUAAAUAAAAUAUUACAAUUGAUAAUUCUAUCUUAUAUAUUCACUGUCUUUUUUUCUCUCCAAAUUUAUAAUAAUAAUAUGUAAUACCAUACUAUCUUAAAAGAUUACAUAAAAUAUUCGAUAAUCCAAUCACUGGAAUUCUCCAAAACUAAUUGUCAUUCCCAGUAAUCUACCUCACACAAUUCCAAACUCCACAAACUUCUUUUUGUGGAAUAUUCUUAAUUCUCAAUAAUCAAUGUAUUAUAAUUCUCUCAUUCAUAUUUAUACAUCACAAACAUCUUUAAUUCUUAACUUUUUAAUUCUUUACUUAUAAUUCAGCAUACAAUAAAUUCAAUUUUUUAUUUGACAUCAUAUAAAUCAAAUCCUUCUUUUAUAACAAAAUUUCACUUCACAUUAUUCAAAAUCUAUUAAUUACCUUUUUUCUAUAAAGAAAAUAAAAAAAAGAGAUAGCACCAAGCUUACCUUGGUUCAUGACUAUCACAGUCUGGUCUUUUUUACUUCUUCUUCAACCCAUUUAUAUUUACCCCAAAACAAAGAUUCCAACCAAAAUUUCUUACUUAAUUAUUUUUCUUCACUAAAUC
rnacentral:lncRNA from 1 species